rnacentral:rRNA from 1 species
CCGGCUAACUCUGUGCCAGCAGCCGCGGUAAUACAGAGGGUGCGAGCGUUAAUCGGAUUUACUGGGCGUAAAGCGUGCGUAGGCGGCUUUUUAAGUCGGAUGUGAAAUCCCCGAGCUUAACUUGGGAAUUGCAUUCGAUACUGGGAAGCUAGAGUAUGGGAGAGGAUGGUAGAAUUCCAGGUGUAGCGGUGAAAUGCGUAGAGAUCUGGAGGAAUACCGAUGGCGAAGGCAGCCAUCUGGCCUAAUACUGACGCUGAGGUACGAAAGCAUGGGGAGCAAACAGGAUUAGAUACCCUGAUAGUCCAUGCCGUAAACGAUGUCUACUAGCCGUCGGGGCCUUUGAGGCUUUAGUGGCGCAGAUAACGCGAUAAGUAGACCGCCUGGGGAAUACGGUCGCGAGACUUAAAGUCAAAUGAAUUGACGGGGGCCCGCACAAGCGGUGGAACAUGUG